UACGUAGGGUGCAAGCGUUGUCCGGAAUCAUUGGGCGUAAAGCGCGCGUAGGCGGCCCGAUAAGUCCGCUGUAAAAGUCAACGGCUCAACUGUUGAAAGCCGGUGGAUACUGCGGGGCUAGAGUGCGGAAGGGGCAACUGGAAUUCUCGGUGUAGCGGUGAAAUGCGUAGAUAUCGAGAGGAACACCUGCGGCGAAGGCGGGUUGCUGGGCCGACACUGACGCUGAUGCGCGAAAGCCAGGGGAGCGAACGGG
rnacentral:rRNA from 1 species